CCUACGGGCGACAGCAGUGAGGAAUAUUGGUCAAUGGACGAGAGUCUGAACCAGCCAAGUAGCGUGAAGGAUGACUGCCCUAUGGGUUGUACACUUCUUUUAUAUGGGAAUAAAAUGUUCCACGUGUGGGAUGUUGUAUGUACCAUAUUAAUAAGGAUCGGCUAACUCCGUGCCAGCAGCCGCGGUAAUACGGAGGAUCCGAGCGUUAUCCGGAUUUAUUGGGUUUAAAGGGAGCGUAGGUGGAGUGAUAAGGCAGUUGUGAAAGUUUGCGGCUCAACCGUAAAAUUGCAGUUGAAACUGGCAGUCUUGAGUACAGUAGAGGUGGGCGGAAUUCGUGGUGUAGCGGUGAAAUGCUUAGAUAUCACGAAGAACUCCGAUUGCGAAGGCAGUUCAAUGGACUGCAACUGACACUGAGGCUCGAAAGUGUGGGUAUCAAACAGGAUUAGAUACCCCUGUAGUC
rnacentral:rRNA from 1 species